AACAAAACGCUGGCGGCGUGCCUAACACAUGCAAGUCGAACGCGAAAAUCGGCUUCGGCCGAUGAGUAAAGUGGCGCACGGGUGAGUAACGCGUGGAUAAUCUACCCUUCAGUUGGGAAUAACUUAUCGAAAGGUGAGCUAAUACCGAAUAAAAACUGCCUGACCACGGUCGGGUAGUCAAAGAUAGCCUCUGCUUGCAAGCUUUCGCUGAAUGAUGAGUCCGCGUACCAUUAGCUAGUUGGUGGGGUAAUGGCCUACCAAGGCGACGAUGGUUAGCUGGUCUGAGAGGAUGAUCAGCCACACUGGAACUGAGACACGGUCCAGACUCCUACGGGAGGCAGCAGUGAGGAAUCUUGCGCAAGUGGGGGAAACCCUGACGCAGCAACGCCGCGUGAGUGAGGAAGGUCUUCGGAUCGUAAAGCUCUGUCGGGUAGGAAAGAAUGUAGUGGGUUAAUAGCCUUCAUACUUGACGUACCACCGAAAGGAGCGACCGCUAACCG
rnacentral:rRNA from 1 species